AACGUAGGAGGCAAGCGUUAUCCGGAUUUACUGGGCGUAAAGAGUGCGUAGGCGGCUCUGUAAGUGGGUGGUGAAAGCGCCCGGCUAAACCGGGAGAGGUCCAUUCAGACUGCAGGUCUAGAGGCGGAUAGAGGGGUGCGGAAUUCAGGGUGUAGCGGUGAAAUGUGUAGAGAUCCGGAGGAACACCAGUGGUGCAGACGGCGCCCUGGGUCCGAACUGACGCUGAAGCACGAAAGCGUGGGGAGCGAACGGG
rnacentral:rRNA from 1 species